GAUAGAGGUAGGGAGACUGAGAGUGGUUUGGUGGGCAGACAUCUAUAUGAUGGUCAUAAUGAUGCAUAUGGUGGUCGAGAUAGGUCGAAAGAUUCCAGGCAUUUGAAAGAUGAACCGGAUUACCACUACAGGAAAGGAAAAAAAGAUCCAGUAAAGGUGCCCAACAUCAUGGAUGAUGAUCUGGAAAGGCGUGAAAAGAAACCACUGAGAGAUGAAGAGGU